GGGAGGGGCGCGAGCGUUGUCCGGAAUUACUGGGCGUAAAGGGGGCGCAGGCGGCUAGGUAAGUCCUAUGUGAAAGCCCACGGCUCAACCGUGGAAAGCCAUAGGAUACUGCCCAGGCUAGAGACGGGUAGAGGCGAGUGGAAUUCCCGGUGUAGCGGUGGAAUGCGUAGAUAUCGGGAAGAACACCAGUGGCGAAGGCGACUCGCUGGGCCCGUUCUGACGCUCAGGCCCGAAAGCGUGGGGAGCAAACAGGAUUAGAUACCCUGGUAGUCCACGCCGUAAACGAUGGGCACUAGGUGCCGGGAAGUGUGACCUUUCGGUGCCGUAGCUAACGCGUUAAGUGCCCCGCCUGGGGAGUACGGCCGCAAAGGCUG
rnacentral:rRNA from 1 species